AGCGAACGCUGGCGGCAGGCUUAACACAUGCAAGUCGAACGGGCACUUCGGUGCUAGUGGCAGACGGGUGAGUAACGCGUGGGAACGUACCUUUCGGUUCGGAAUAAUUCAGGGAAACUUGGACUAAUACCGGAUACGCCCUUCGGGGGAAAGAUUUAUCGCCGAUAGAUCGGCCCGCGUCUGAUUAGCUAGUUGGUGAGGUAAUGGCUCACCAGGGCGACGAUCAGUAGCUGGUCUGAGAGGAUGAUCAGCCACAUUGGGACUGAGACACGGCCCAAACUCCUACGGGAGGCAGCAGUGGGGAAUAUUGGACAAUGGGCGCAAGCCUGAUCCAGCCAUGCCGCGUGAGUGAUGAAGGCCUUAGGGUUGUAAAGCUCUUUUGUCCGGGAAGAUAAUGACUGUACCGGAAGAAUAAGCCCCGGCUAACUUCGUGCCAGCAGCCGCCGCGGUAA
rnacentral:rRNA from 1 species